AUUGAACGCUGGCGGCAAGCCUAACACAUGCAAGUCGAACGAGUGGCGGACGGGUGAGUAAUGUCUGGGAAACUGCCUGAUGGAGGGGGACAACUACUGGAAACGGUAGCUAAUACCGCAUACCAUCGGAUGUGCCCAGAUGGGAUUAGUUAGUAGGUGGGGUAAAGGCUCACCUAGGCGACGAUCCCUAGCUGGUCUGAGAGGAUGACCAGCCACAAGGGAACUGAGACACGGUCCAGACUCCUACGGGAGGCGGCAGUGGGGAAUAUUGCAGAAUGGGCGCAAGCCUGAUGCGGCCAUGCCGCGUGUAUGAAGAAGGCCUUCGGGUUGAAAAGUACUUUCAGCGGGGAGGCGUUACCCGGAGGAGAAGCACCGGCUAACUCCGUGCCAGCAGGCGCGGUAAUAC
rnacentral:rRNA from 1 species